GACGAACGCUGGCGGCGUGCUUAACACAUGCAAGUCGAACGGAAAGGCCCUGCUUUUGUGGGGUGCUCGAGUGGCGAACGGGUGAGUAACACGUGAGUAACCUGCCCUUGACUUUGGGAUAACUUCAGGAAACUGGGGCUAAUACCGGAUAGGAGCUCCUGCUGCAUGGUGGGGGUUGGAAAGUUUCGGCGGUUGGGGAUGGACUCGCGGCUUAUCAGCUUGUUGGUGGGGUAGUGGCUUACCAAGGCUUUGACGGGUAGCCGGCCUGAGAGGGUGACCGGCCACAUUGGGACGGAGAUACGGCCCAGACUCCUACGGGAGGCAGCAGUGGGGAAUAUUGCACAAUGGGCUGAAGCCUGAUGCAGCAACGCCGCGUGCGGGAUGACGGCCUGCGGGUUGUAAACCGCUUUCGCCUGUGACGAAGCGUGAGUGACGGUAAUGGGUAAAGAAGCACCGGCUAACUACGUG
rnacentral:rRNA from 1 species